GCCGCGUGAGUGAAGUAAGGGUUUUCGGAUCGUAAAGCUCUGUUGUUGGUGAAGAAGGAUAGAGGUAGUAACUGGCCCCUAUUUGACGGUAAUCAACCAGAAAGUCACGGCUAACUACGUGCC
rnacentral:rRNA from 1 species